rnacentral:lncRNA from 1 species
GUUUUCUGAUUUGGAUUCCCAAAGUUCGUAGUGCAAUACAAUCGGAUGAAGAUAGUCUAGAUACCUUAGCUGCAUUGGCACAUAGGUCACCCAACCACCACUUCACUGAAGCCCAAAUCUGAUCAUAAUUAAUGUCCACACCUUCCAUCUUUUUUCUGCACCUUGCUGUCCAAAUCGCCCAGAAAAUCAAAACAGGAGAAAAGUCAAUAAUCAUGCCUACUUGGGACGUUUUUGAUGCCUUGGAGAACCAGAAAUUCAUUCUUUGUCUCCGGCCCAAAGAUGGAGUGUUAGCGAUGCCUGUCGUCGUCGAUAUCUGAUUCCAAAGAAAUUUUGCCAGGUCACUGCCAUCCAACAAAUGGUUGAGAGACUCACAAUGAGGUGUAACACAACAUACACAUUUUGAUGCUAAGGUGAUCCCCACCAUUUGUAUUUUUUCAUCCACAACGAGUGCAUUCUGUAUAGCUUUCCAAGUAAUGAAAGAGAUUCUUUUUGGAAUUAGUGGAUGCCAUACCCAUUUAUCCCAAUCUACACUCUCCCGUUUGUCUCGAAUGAGUUCCCAAGUAUUCCUAGUGCUGAACAAGCCAUCUAGAGAGGGUUUCCAAACAAUUGUAUCCACUCCUUCACGUAACUUUGGAACAAAGUCUAUAACAGCUUUAGCUAAAUCAUUCCCGAUUAAUUCUGAUAAGACAUCUUCAUUCCACCCUCUUGAGGUCACCACUGCAUUUAGCCUCAAAUCAG